UUUGAUAAUCUUUUUUACCUUGUUUAUCUCAUAUAUUUAACCUUUUAUGUAUGAUCUUUUGGAGAUAAAACAUACAUGUUUGGAAUUCCAUGGUCCAACUUGGUAUGUAAUUAAAUGAAGCAACGUCUAACAGAAAUUUGGCAUUUUUCUGAAAAAGCUCAACAAGAUGAUUAUUGUCUCUCCUAUGUUUUCAUUCUCUUUUGUUCUCUGACUUUGUUUAUAUAUUCCAUGUCCAGAUAUGGGCAAGUAAACUGUUGAGAAUGUAUACAAAAUGGGGGAGAAAGCAAGGACGAAAAGGGAGAGUGGUUGAGAAAUGUCCUUCGAUGAAUGGUGGCGGCAUUAAGUCAGUGACUAUAGAAUUUGAAUUUAAGUAUGUGUAUGGAUAUCUUUUAGGAGAAAGGGGUGUCCACUUCAUGAUUAGAGGUCCUAAUGUUGAAUCUGUGCUGUUUGAGGGAUGAUUUUAGAAAGAAAUUCAUGGCAACCAAUCCUUACUUUGGAAAGGCAGUGACGAGGGUGAGUACAAGGACAAGAAGAAGAAAUAUAUGUUGUGUGACAAUGAAUUUAGUGUUUUAUUAUAUUUGUAAUUUUUAUUAGAGUAAAUGAUUCUUGUUUGAAUGGUUAAUUAUUUACUUUGUAAAUCUAGUUAUAUAUUUUUUAAGGUCAAGAUGAUUAUAAUUUUAAUAAGUUUUAUUUUAAUCUAUAAAUUUUUAGAUUAAUUUGUAUAUAAA